GUUUUGAGAUAUUGAAAUUGUAAUGAUUUGUUUCUAUCAAAGUAAAAGAGUAUUUAUAUCCAAACAAUAACUGAAAUAGCAAAAAUUUUGAAUUGUUUGUAAACACACCACUUUUGUAGAAAACUAAUGUAUCUUUUUGUUUUGUGUUCAAUAGUGUGAAGAAAAGAAGUUCAAGCCUCAAAAGCAACUUUCUGGAAAUCAAUUUCUUUAUGCAUGACCCAAAGACUGAAAAUAAAAAUCCUGUUUUUGUCAAGUAAACAAA
rnacentral:lncRNA from 1 species